AACAAACGCUGGCGGCGUGCCUAAUACAUGCAAGUCGAACGGGGUAGCAAUACCUAGUGGCGCACGGGUGAGUAACGCGUGGAUAAUCUGCCUUAGAGUGGGGGAUAACUAGUCGAAAGAUUAGCUAAUACCGCAUAAGACCACAAGAACUGCGGUUCAAGGGUCAAAGGUUUUUCGCUCUAAGAUGAGUCCGCGUAAGAUUAGCUAGUUGGUGAGGUAAUGGCUCACCAAGGCGACGAUCUUUAACUGGUCUGAGAGGAUGAUCAGUCACACUGGAACUGAGACACGGUCCAGACUCCUACGGGAGGCAGCAGUAGGGAAUAUUGCACAAUGGAGGAAACUCUGAUGCAGCGACGCCGCGUGAGUGAUGAAGGCCUUCGGGUCGUAAAGCUCUGUCGCAGGGGAAUAACACAAUGAAUGUACCCUGUAAGAAAGGAUCGGCUAACUUCGUGCCAGCCGCCGCCGUAAUAC
rnacentral:rRNA from 1 species